UACGGGGGGAGCAAGCGUUGUUCGGAUUUACUGGGCGUAAAGGGCGCGUAGGCGGUCAGCACAAGUCAGUUGUGAAAUCUCCGGGCUUAACCCGGAAAGGUCAACUGAUACUGUGCGACUAGAGUGCGGAAGGGGCAACUGGAAUUCUCGGUGUAGCGGUGAAAUGCGUAGAUAUCGGGAGGAACACCUGUGGCGAAAGCGGCGCACUGGACCAUAACUGACGCUGAGGCGCGAAAGCUAGGGGAGCAAACAGG
rnacentral:rRNA from 1 species